rnacentral:rRNA from 1 species
GUCCCGCCUGCCCUGUGACAUAAGUUUAACGGCCGCGGUAUUUUGACCGUGCAAAGGUAGCGCAAUCACUUGUCUUUUAAAUGGAGACCUGUAUGAAUGGCAUAACGAGGGCUUAGCUGUCUCCUUUCUCCUGUCAAUGAAAUUGAUCUCCCCGUGCAGAAGCGGGGAUACGACCAUAAGACGAGAAGACCCUGUGGAGCUUUAGACACUAAGGCAGCCUCCGUCAAAAAGGCUCACACGCCUAAAACCUUACCCUGCCUCAUUGUCUUUGGUUGGGGCGACCGCGGAGUACUAUUUAACCUCCAUGUGGAACAAGAGUACCUUCUCUUACAACCGAGAGCUUCGGCUCCAAGUAACAGAACUUCUGACCAAAAAUGAUCCGGCGAAGCCGAUCAACGAACCGAGUUACCCCAGGGAUAACAGCGCAAUCCUCUUUUAGAGCCCAUAUCGACAAGGGGGUUUACGACCUCGAUGUUGGAUCAGGACAUCCUAAUGGUGCAGCCGCUAUUAAGGGUUCGUUUGUUCAACGAUUAAAG